UAAACAAUACAACUUCUCUUUAAGAAGAACUCAUUGACUCACGAAAUGGCCCUCGCAAUCCUUGAUGAAUCUUCAGAUAACUCAAGAACGAAAUCGCUUGUAGAGUCUUCCCCAAUCCCAUCUGCUCAAUCCUUAGAUUAGACUCAAAACAUAGACACAAUUCACAAAGAGAGCAUUUUCAAAAACGAUGGUGGUAUGGUACCUCGUCUCCUGCAAUUAGAAAUCGAAACACAAUUGAUUGAAUCGGUUUAACUUUUUUAAGUUCCGGUUAGUACUCUGAAACGGAAUCGGAGAGUUACCGAGAACGACAUUGACGCCGAGGAGAUACUUGUGUAUAAGCCAAGAGACUCCUUCGACUUGGUGAGGCUUUAGAGUCGCUGUGACACCGAACUCUCUGCAAUCGGGAGGCGCGUGUGUAGCUUGUGUAUUCGCG
rnacentral:lncRNA from 1 species